GGUGUUUGCCGUGGUCUGGGUGUUUGUGCAGUCCUUGUGGGUCUCCCCACCGUGCCUCGGAGAGCACGUUAAGCCGUCGGUCCCGGUUGUUAUCAUUUACACCUAAUAGCGAUCGUUACUCAUAGUAGGGAAUAUAUCCGCCAACCCGCAUUGGAGCAGCGUGGUGGAUUAAGCUCUGAUCCUUCUCCUACAUGGGGAAAG
rnacentral:misc_RNA from 1 species